GACGAACGCUGGCGGCGUGCUUAACACAUGCAAGUCGAACGGAAAGGCCCUGCUUUUGUGGGGUGCUCGAGUGGCGAACGGGUGAGUAACACGUGAGUAACCUGCCCUUGACUUUGGGAUAACUUCAGGAAACUGGGGCUAAUACCGGAUAGGAGCUCCUGCUGCAUGGUGGGGGUUGGAAAGUUUCGGCGGUUGGGGAUGGACUAGCGGCUUACCAGCUUGUUGGUGGGGUAGUGGCUUACCAAGGCUUUGACGGCUAGCCGGCCUGAGAGGGUGACCGGCCACAAGGGUACUAAGGGAGGGCCCAGACUCCAACGGGAGGCAGCAGUGGGGAAUCUGGCACAGUGGGCGGAAGCCUGAGGCAGCAACGCCGCGUGCGUGAUGACGGCCUUCGGGUUGUAAACCGCUUUCGCCUGUGACGAAGCGUGAGUGACGGUAAUGGGUAAAGAAGCACCGGCUAACUACGUG
rnacentral:rRNA from 1 species